UUGAUCAUGGCUCAGGACGAACGCUGGCGGCGUGCUUAACACAUGCAAGUCGAACGAUGAACCAGGAGCUUGCUCUUGGGGAUUAGUGGCGAACGGGUGAGUAACACGUGAGUAACCUGCCCUUGACUCUGGGAUAACCUCCGGAAACGGAAGCUAAUACCGGAUACGAACUGCGAAGGCAUCUUCAGCAGUUGGAAAGAACUUCGGUCAAGGAUGGACUCGCGGCCUAUCAGGUAGUUGGUGAGGUAACGGCCCACCAAGCCUACGACGGGUAGCCGGCCUGAGAGGGUGACCGGCCACACUGGGACUGAGACACGGCCCAGACUCCUACGGGAGGCAGCAGUGGGGAAUAUUGCACAAUGGGCGCAAGCCUGAUGCAGCAACGCCGCGUGAGGGACGACGGCCUUCGGGUUGUAAACUCUUUUAGUAGGGAAGAAGCG
rnacentral:rRNA from 1 species